UACGUAGGGGGCAAGCGUUGUCCGGAUUUAUUGGGCGUAAAGAGCGUGUAGGCGGUUAGGUAGGUCCGUUGUGAAAACUCGAGGCUCAACCUCGAGACGCCGAUGGAAACCAUCUGACUAGAGUCCGGAAGAGGAGAGUGGAAUUCCUGGUGUAGCGGUGAAAUGCGCAGAUAUCUGGAGGAACACCGGUGGCGAAGGCGGCAUCCUGGACCAACACUGACGCUGAGGAGCGAAAGCCAGGGGAGCAAACGGG
rnacentral:rRNA from 1 species